rnacentral:rRNA from 1 species
UACGUAGGUGUCGAGCGUUGUCCGGAAUUAUUGGGCGUAAAGAGCUCGUAGGCGGUUUGUCGCGUCUGCUGUGAAAACCCGAGGCUCAACCUCGGGCCUGCAGUGGGUACGGGCAGACUAGAGUGCGGUAGGGGAGAUUGGAAUUCCUGGUGUAGCGGUGGAAUGCGCAGAUAUCAGGAGGAACACCAAUGGCGAAGGCAGAUCUCUGGGCCGUAACUGACGCUGAGGAGCGAAAGCAUGGGGAGCGAACAGG